rnacentral:rRNA from 1 species
UACGGGGGGGGCAAGCGUUGUUCGGAAUUACUGGGCGUAAAGGGUUCGUAGGUGGCCACUUAAGUCAGACGUGAAAUCCCUCAGCUUAACUGGGGAACUGCGUCUGAUACUGGGUGGCUUGAGUGCAGGAGAGGAAUGCGGAAUUCCAGGUGUAGCGGUGAAAUGCGUAGAUAUCUGGAGGAACACCGGUGGCGAAGGCGGCAUUCUGGACUGUAACUGACACUGAGGAACGAAAGCCAGGGGAGCAAACGGG